rnacentral:lncRNA from 1 species
AGUCAGUGUAAAGGCAAGACUAAGGAAGCGGCGGUUCUGGGGAGUUGAGAAUAUAUCUCUGCCCCCCCCACCCAGGUCACCUUAUUUAUUUUUUUUUUAAAUCUUCUUUUAUUUUAAAAUCUAACCCUGGAGGUUUGCUCGUACUUUCUGCCUUUAAACUUAAAGGAGAACCAGAGCCUAAAGGUGACAUGCUUCGGGCCCCAGGAAAGGGCUGUAUGACUGCAGCGCUUACUUGAGCUCCUUCACCACGUACACCACUCAGAUAUGUCUUGAAGUGCACAGAUGUGGCCAGAAUUUCCAAGUUGUGGCUAUUUUUCCUGCUAAACUAUGCUCAGCAACCAGGAAGGGGAAGCUAGAAGGACCAGUUCAAAGAAAAGUGGCACAGUUACCUAGUGAAUGAGAAUGACUUGGCAGAAUCAUCACUGCUGGUGCUUCCAUUGCCCACUGAGCUGAAGAGACCAAGGUUCUGUUGUAGCAUCUGGCUUAUGUGGGAAUGAUGGCAUCUUGGAUCCUCGCCCGUGGCCUAUGACUUAACAAUCCUUUGCAAGGCCUCCAGGAUUUGUGUCUUUAAACGCCAUUGCUGGCUGAGAAUUAUAUGUAUUACAAGUAAUUCAGAAAAUACACAUGAGCAGAACUUAAGAAAACAAAAAUCACCUGUAAUCCCAUCAUUCGGAGAUAGCCUUUCUUGAUAUUUUGGGGUGUGUGGUAUUUACAUCUAUAUGCAUAUCUAGCAUAUAUAUGAGACUCAGACAACAUGUAUUAUCG